rnacentral:rRNA from 1 species
AGGACGAACGCUGGCGGCGUGCUUAACACAUGCAAGUCGAGCGGUAAGGCCCUUUCGGGGGUACACGAGCGGCGAACGGGUGAGUAACACGUGGGUGACCUGCCCUCAGCUCUGGGAUAAGCCUGGGAAACUAGGUCUAAUACCGGAUAUUCUCUUCUCCUCGCAUGGGGGGUUGUGGAAAGUUUUUUCGGCUGGGGAUGGGCCCGCGGCCUAUCAGCUUGUUGGUGGGUGAUGGCCUACCAAGGCGACGACGGGUA